rfam:Pelobacter propionicus DSM 2379, complete genome.
AAACCGAAAAGGCAAAAUCCGGGGAACCGGAUGACGCAAAGCCACCUCCCAGGCCGGGCAGAGGGGCCGCCGAA